AUGUCGUCGAGGCCGAGGCGUUCGACUUCCCGAGAAGGGAAGAAGAAGGGGAAAGGGGAUAGCCGCCGACACCGCCUAAGCGAAGCGGGUGCUGCUCGCCUGCAACGGCGGCGGCGACGCCGUCUCGCGGGGGGUCGUCGUUGGCUUCGCCAGGCACGGCUGCAGGCUGGUCCUGGUGGGCGACGAGGGCGCCCUGGCCGCGACGGCGGAGGAGGCGCGGCCCAAGGGGCGGCGGCCAUCGUGGUGGUUGGGCUGGACUUGGCGGCCUGCGACGAGGCAGCCGUCGGCGCCGCGGUGGACGCGGCGUGGCGCUGCUUCGGGGACGGCAGGCUCCAUGCCCUUGUCAACUGCUGCUCCUUCGAGGGGGAAGUGCAAGAUUGCCUCAGCGUGACUGAAGAUGAGUACAACAAGACCAUGAAAGUCAAUGUAAUCACACCUUGGCUCCUGAUAAAGGCGAUAGCGAAGCGGUUCCGGGAUGCGCAGUCGGGCGGCUCCGUGGUUUGCUUGACCCAGAUCAUCGGCGCCGAGAGAGGAUUGUAUCCGGGGGCUGCGGCAUACGGCACAAGUUUAGGCGCCGUUCACCAGCUCGUCAGAGUGAUGCCGCUGCGGCGGUGGCUGGACCCGGGCAAGGACCUCGCUUCCACGGUGCUGUACCUGGUCGGCGACGACUCCCGCUUCAUGACAGGCACCACCAUCUAUGUCGACGGCCAACAGCGGUUUGUGGACCAAGCCGUAUCAAUGGCGUUCAGAGAGAACGGAGCAACCAACUACAUCCGCAUCCAGGGUAACGGCAUCACCGCCGGAGCGACGACGGAGGCGGCCAUGGCGGAGCGGGGGGUGGAGUCGGUCCUGUUCCGGGGGAAGAAGCUGAUGCCGCAGACCAACGACGAGCGGCUGGACGGCGUGGUGGAGCAGCUGGUGCCGAUGCUGCCGGUUCCACAACGCAAGAGCCCGUGGCAACGCGGCAAACUGAAGUUGUUCGCCGGCGUCGCACAGGGCGUCUUUGGCGUCGCAGGAAACCCUACCUUGGGGUUGGCACAGGGCAUCUCUGGCGUCGUAGGAAACCCCACCGCGGGGCUGGUGCAGGGAGUGGCCGACCAUCCCACCCUGCUGAAGCCGCAGGGCGUCUCUGCCAAGUCCAUGGUUGGCGAGUCCAAGGCCGUCUCUGUCCAGGCCUCCGUGGUCGAGGCGAACUGCACUAACAUCGAUGUCUGCCCUGAACUGUUUGCAUCUAAAAGCUCUUGUGACGAUGGAAAGUCUACCUCCAAGGGACCAAAAAAGAAAAUCGGUCCUAAAAGAUCUUCGCCUGACACAUGUACUCACGAUGACAGUGAAGUAUAUCAAGCUGGUGCUAAAAGAAGGACUCUUAACCCCUCUAUUCCUCAUAAGGAGAGCUUGGAGUCUGAAGAUUUUUCUGCAAAGUAG
rnacentral:rRNA from 1 species